CAGCAGCCACGGGAAUACAGAGGGUGCGAGCGUUAAUCGGAUUUACUGGGCGUAAAGCGUGCGUAGGCGGCUUUUUAAGUCGGAUGUGAAAUCCCUGAGCUUAACUUAGGAAUUGCAUUCGAUACUGGGAAGCUAGAGUAUGGGAGAGGAUGGUAGAAUUCCAGGUGUAGCGGUGAAAUGCGUAGAGAUCUGGAGGAAUACCGAUGGCGAAGGCAGCCAUCUGGCCUAAUACUGACGCUGAGGUACGAAAGCAUGGGGAGCAAACAGGAUUAGAGACCCGCGUAGUCCCUGUCUUUUAUAA
rnacentral:rRNA from 1 species